rnacentral:rRNA from 1 species
CCUACGGGUGGCUGCAGUGGGGAAUAUUGGACAAUGGGGGCAACCCUGAUCCAGCCAUGCCGCGUGUGUGAAGAAGGCCCUCGGGUUGUAAAGCACUUUCAGUGAGGAAGAACGCCUGGUGGUUAAUACCCAUCAGGAAAGACAUCACUCACAGAAGAAGCACCGGCUAACUCCGUGCCAGCAGCCGCGGUAAUACGGAGGGUGCGAGCGUUAAUCGGAAUUACUGGGCGUAAAGCGCGCGUAGGUGGCUUGAUAAGCCGGUUGUGAAAGCCCCGGGCUCAACCUGGGAACGGCAUCCGGAACUGUCAAGCUAGAGUGCAGGAGAGGAAGGUAGAAUUCCCGGUGUAGCGGUGAAAUGCGUAGAGAUCGGGAGGAAUACCAGUGGCGAAGGCGGUCUUCUGGACUGACACUGACACUGAGGUGCGAAAGCGUGGGUAGCAAACAGGAUUAGAUACCCUAGUAGUC